AUUGAACGCUGGCGGCAGGCCUAACACAUGCAAGUCGAGCGAGCGGCGGACGGGUGAGUAAUGUAUGGGGACUGCCCGAUAGAGGGGGAUAACUACUGUAACCGGUGGCUAAUACCGCAUACUAUCGGAUAACCCAUAUGGGAUUAGCUAGUAGGUGGGGUAAAGGCUAACCUAGGCGACGAUCCACAGCUGGUCUGAGAGGAUGAUCAGCCACACUGGGACUGAGACACGGCCCAGACUCCUACGGAGGCAGCAGUGGGGAAUAUUGCACAAUGGGCGCAAGCCUGAUGGAGCCAUGCCGCGUGUAUGAAGAAGGCCUUAGGGUUGUAAAGUUCUUUCAGCGGGGAGGCGUUACCCGAAGAAAAAGCACCGGCUAACUCCGUGCCAGCAGCCGCGGUAAUUC
rnacentral:rRNA from 1 species